UACGUAGGGUGCGAGCGUUGUCCGGAAUUAUUGGGCGUAAAGAGCUCGUAGGCGGUCUGUCGCGUCGAUCGUGAAAACUUGGGGCUUAACCCUGAGCUUGCGGUCGAUACGGGCAUGACUGGAGUUCGGCAGGGGAGACUGGAAUUCCUGGUGUAGCGGUGAAAUGCGCAGAUAUCAGGAGGAACCCCGGUGGCGAAGGCGGGUCUCUGGGCCGAUACUGACGCUGAGGAGCGAAAGCGUGGGGAGCGAACAGG
rnacentral:rRNA from 1 species